rnacentral:rRNA from 1 species
GACGAACGCUGGCGGCGUGCUUAACACAUGCAAGUCGAACGGUGAUCUUAGAGCUUGCUCUAGGUGAUCAGUGGCGAACGGGUGAGUAACACGUGAGUAACCUGCCCCAGACUCUGGGAUAACCUCGGGAAACCGGGGCUAAUACCGGAUACGCGACUCCACCGCAUGGUGAGGGUUGGGAAAGUUUUUCGGUCUGGGAUGGGCUCGCGGCCUAUCAGCUUGUUGGUGAGGUAGUGGCUCACCAAGGCGACGACGGGUAGCCGGCCUGAGAGGGCGACCGGCCACACUGGAACUGAGACACGGUCCAGACUCCUACGGGAGGCAGCAGUGGGGAAUAUUGCACAAUGGGCGCAAGCCUGAUGCAGCGACGCCGCGUGGGGGAUGAAGGCCUUCGGGUUGUAAACCCCUUUCAGCAGGGAAGAAGCGAAAGUGACGGUACCUGCAGAAGAAGCGCCGGCUAACUACGUGCCAGCAGCCGCUGUAAAAC